CUCAGUAGUAUUUCUCAAUGUAUGGCUUUUGACAAAGUUAGAAUAGAGUUAAAACAGGUGGUAUUGAAAGAAUAUGAACUUCACCAAAUAAUUACGUUGAUUGUUCUCUUUCUGUAGCGACAGCAGAUGGACACAAUCACCCAUUUUAUGGGGGCAUUUCUCAGAUAUGACUAUUAUGGAGCUGACUGCAACUGGAGAGGCUGACCUUCUUGACACCUAAAGCAGUAGCAGGAUUAUCCUAACAGAGAAGUGCAUGCUACAGUACAGACUCAAGACCCAGGAAUCAUGGUGCAGCUCGCUGCCCUGGUGCCCACCAGCCAAUCUGUUGGCACCACCAACCAGCACUUCACACAAUGACCAUGCAAAUGCUAUUCACAAUGCAUAACUUUCUCACAGUAUUAGCCAAAAAUCUGCCAUGUUUCAAGGAUGCAAGAACUUAAGCAUGGUUGCCAUGUGUCACGCAUAAUCAGGAGAUCAGUCCACGUUACUCUUCAUCUUUCCACCUCUCCUCAUGGCCUCACCAACUCAGCACCCGGAUCCCCUGACAGCCAUUCUGCUGAUUCUAAGUCGCUUUGUGUGCUGCUGCUUGAACCGAGAUAAAGAAACUUUACUGAAAGUUGGAGGAAUUGAAAGAAACUUGCACAGUAGACACUCAUCUCAGACUACAAUAAGUUUUCCCUCCACCCCAUCUAAGAGAUCAUAUUGCUCAAGAAAGAAGAUUAUAAGACAUCUUGAUGGCUGAUAUUUUAGAUGUUAUGCACCAAUAUCUUCUGGGUAUCUGGUAGAGAAUAUCUUGGCUAAUUGUUUUUGCUUCUACCUGCCCUAUAGAUUCAGCACUCUAGCUUGGCGCUGUUGGAAACAAUAUCAAAACAUGUCUCCCCUGUGGCUGGGCACUUAUUGCAGCAUGUAUGGCCAUAACAACUCAGAAGCAGCGUUCUACUCCUACUGAAGACCUAAAUGGACAUCAACACUUUCUAGAAUGAUCAGUAAUACAGAUCUGAGAUACAAAACGUGAAAACUGUAAAGGAGAAUGAGUGAAUAAUUGUUUUCACUGGUGUGAUAAAUAUUGUUUUCUGUACGCUACAUUCUUGGUCACUAGCCAAGAGAGGGGAAGCCAAAAAGAGAAUAAAAGGGAAAGAAAGAGAGAGCA
rnacentral:lncRNA from 1 species